rnacentral:rRNA from 1 species
AAUUUUGGACAAUGGGGGAAACCCUGAUCCAGCCAUCCCGCGUGUAUGAUGAAGGCCUUCGGGUUGUAAAGUACUUUUGGCAGAGAAGAAAAGGUACCUCCUAACACGCGGUACUGUUGACGGUACCUCCAGAUUAAGCACCGGCGAACCACGUGCCUGCAGCCGCGGUAAUACGUAGGGUGCAAGCGUUAAUCGGAAUUACUGGGCGUAAAGCGUGUGUAGGCGGUUCGGAAAGAAAGAUGUGGAAUCCCAGGGCUCAACCUUGGAACUGCAUUUUUAACUGCCGAGCUAGAGUAUGUCAGAGGGGGGUAGAAUUCCACGUGUAGCAGUGAAAUGCGUAGAUAUGUGGAGGAAUACCGAUGGCGAAGGCAGCUCCCUGGGAUAAUACUGACGCUCAGACACGAAAGCGUGGGGAGCAAACAG